rnacentral:rRNA from 1 species
UACGUAGGGGGCUAGCGUUGUCCGGAUUUAUUGGGCGUAAAGAGCGUGUAGGCGGUCUGUUAAGUCUGCGGUGAAAUCCCGGAGCUCAACUCCGGAUAUGCCGCGGAUACUGGCGGACUAGAGACCGGUAGAGGCGAGUGGAAUUCCCGGUGUAGUGGUGAAAUACGUAGAUAUCGGGAAGGAACACCAGUGGCGAAGGCGACUACCUGGCCUGUUCUUGACGCUGAGGCGCGAAAGCUAGGGGAGCAAACGGGG